rnacentral:lncRNA from 1 species
CUCCCUUUCCUUGCACUGUUUCCAACCUCAGCUCUAAACAUUACACCCACCUGUAAGUCUGACCUCAUACCUAACUCUCACAGCUUUUACACGUCUUCAUCAUUACAUAUCAGAUAGAUGCAGAAGAGGAAAUACUUAAGCGUUUACCGUGUUUCCUUUUCUAUACAAGACAGCAAUAUAACUGCUUGCUAUUCUCUGCGCUAGCCUUCCUGUCGUUCUAUCUAUCUAUCUAUCUAUCUAUCUAUCUAUCUAUCUAUCUAUCUAUCUAUCUAUCUAUCUGUCUGUCUGUCUGUCUGUCAGUCUGUCUGUCUGUCUGACUGACUGACUGUCUGUUUAUCUAUCUAUCUAUCAUCUAUCUAUCUAUCUAUCUAUCUAUCUAUCUAUCUAUCUAUCUAUCUAUCUAUCUAUCUACAUGUCUAUGUAAUUGUGCAUUUACAUAUAUAUAUGUAUAUAUAUAUAUAUAUAUAUAUAUAUACCUACAUACAUACAUAUAUAAAAUCACACGUAUAUAUGCAUAAAUAUAUGCAUACAUACAUACAUACACUGAUAUAAAUAUACACACAUAUAUAUAUAUAUAAAUCCACACAUACACAUAUAUCUCAAUUAGUCAAUCAGGCUACCAAUCGAUAAAUUGAAAGGACAACAACACACACCGCACACACACACAUAACCAGACACACACACGCACACACACACGCACACACACACACACACACGCACACACACACAUAAUGCGUGUAUUUUGUGUGUGUGUGUGUAUGUGUAUAUUAUCUCACGCUCUAAUGCAAGACUACAAAAAAUACACAAUUCGAUAAUUAUCUUUCCACCAAUCUGCAUAUGUUUCUGUGUGCUAGUGUGUGUAUGUGCUCUUGAGUGUAUGUGCUUUUCUCUCUCUCUCUCUCUCUCUCUCUCUCUCUCUCUUUCUCUGCAUGUGUGUAUGUGUGUAUGAUUGCAUAAGUGCCUAUGCCUCCAAAUGCACAGGAACAGGUAUCCCUGAAUCUUAUAGCUGCACGGGGGUGCUACCUAUUAUGUGUUUUGAAGUAAUUUUUUUUUGCGAAAGAUUUCCCCAGCCCUUAAAGUGUAAUGUUACAUAUAGCGUUUCACAAUACUUCAUCAUGGUACCUAUUUUCAACCAGAAGCAGUGGGCUGUUAACUGUCAACUGUCGGAAACAACGCUUUGCCGGUUAACGUGAUGUCAAUCAACGACUUGUAGGCUGUUAGGCCGGCACAUUAUCGAUUCAGUGAUGAACCGUACGUAUACACAAACAACACACACACACACACACUCACGUGCAUGCACAUGCAAGCUCACACAUAUACACAUAUACACAUAUUCAUACAUAUACUUGCGCGUCGCGUAUGUGUGUAAUCAUACACACACACACACACACACACACACAUAUAUAUAUAUAUAUACAUGUGUAUGUCUCUUACUCUCUCUCUCUCUCUCUCUCUCUCUAUAUAUAUAUAUAUAUAUAUAUAUAUAUAUAUAUAUAUAUAUAUAUAUACAUACAUACAUACAUAUAUAUAUAUGCCUCCAUCCAUUUAUUGAUCAAUCAAUCAAUCAAUCAAUCAAUCAGUCAAUUAAUCUAUCUAUCUAUCUAUCUAUCUAUCUAUCUAUCUAUCUAUCUAUCUAUCUAUCUAUCUAUCUAUCUAUCUAUCUAUCUAUCUAUCUAUCUAUCUAUCUAUCUAUCUAUCUAUCUAUCUAUCUAUGUGGCUAUCUGUCUGUCUGUCUCUCAAUCCAUCAAUCUGUACCAAUUGACAUGUUUACGAUUUUGUAGAAUUUUAAGAGUUUCCCAUUUCGCCAUUUCGUCUAUUACAAUAAUUCUAUUAUUAUUUGUUUUUUUUUUUUUAAUUUUCAUUGUUUUUGUUUUUUAAAUAACAACUUUGGGUCUCACUGAACGAAUGAACAGCCAUUAUAAAUGCAUUGUUGCUAAGGAAACGUGUGACGUCAUCGCCUCCAUUACUAUGCCAGAUUACUGCGAGGACUGAAGCAGACAUUUUUAUCUGUAGCUGGCUGCGGAUUGACAAUACUGACAAGCAACCGCUUCGCCAUUUCUCGACACCUAGCUUUUCAUCAGCAGAGAAUGCUGGAUACGGUGGCUGAGGUGCAGACGUCAACAUCUGCAGCUGACAGAGACGACCAAAUGUUGAUAUGUUAGCGUACGUGCAUAAUUCCGCAUAGAUUUUUCAGAAAAUGCACGCAUUUAGAUUUACUUUAGGGUUGUUUGCUUUCAUCGUGUGCAUAUUCCUAUACAUUUAAAUCGCAUGCUUACGGAAAUGCAUAGGAAUUUUCAUUUUAAAUAUCUUUCGAAUAAUGUAUGUUCACCGUUUUUGUUGCAUUCUCUCUCUCUCUGACCACACACAUAAAAACACACAAACACCUACACAUAUAUACAUAUAUACAUAUACUUAUUAUAUAUCUGCAUAUAUGCACACACGCACCCACGGAUAGACAUACACACGGAGAAAAUAUUCCCACAUUAUGCAUAUAUGAAUAUCUGCAUAUUAAUUUAUACAGAUAACAUUAGACAUCUAUGUCUAUAUACAUAUAUAUAUAUAUAUAUAUAUAUAUGAACAUCUCUCUCUCUCUCGUUAUCUCUCUCUCUCUCUCUCUCUCUCUCUAUAUAUAUAUAUAUAUAUAUAUAUAUUUAUGUAUAUAUGUAUGUAUUGAUAUUUAGCAGAGCAGAAGCAACAGUGACUCAUGGGCCACAACGCUCGAAACUCUCGGCCUCUGAAUCACUCUGUCGUUCUGAUAGAUAUCAAUAAAAAUACACAUACACUCAUAUUUUGAGUUCCAUCUUUCCUGCUUGCGUCACCAUACCUACAUAUAUACAUACAGACAUAUAUACACAACACACACAUAUACAACGGUCUUCUUUUAGCUUCCAUCUACCAAAUUCACACAUAAGGCUUUGGUCGGCCCGAGGCUAUAGUAGAAGACACUUACCCAAGGUGCCACGCAGUGGGACUGAACCCGGAACCACGUGGUUGGGAAGGCAGCUUCUUACCACACAACCACUCCUAUAUAUAUAUAUACAUACAUAUAUAUAUGAUUGCAUGAGUGUGUGUUUUUACAAUCAAAGUUCUGAGUCUGAUAUUACUCAGGGUUUCACUUUAUUAAUAUUCACACCCAUACAGCUAGGUACACACACACGCAAACUCGUGUACAGCUUAUGUCUGUGUAUGUGUUUGUGUAUCUGAGAAAAAUGUAUAUUAACGAUAUAUAAUAAUCAAUUUCUAAUUAAGUGUUUUUACAAGCAGUGUGUUAAUCAUCUGCAAUGUAUGUUGAGUUGCUACUCAUACAUCCUUGUAUAUUUUUAUGCAAGGGGGAAUACUAUUAUACAUAUGUAUGUAUAUAUAUAUAUGUACAUACUCAUAUAUAUAUAUGCAUACCCUGUGUAUGUAUAUACAUGUAUGUGUCUGUUCAUAUAUAUCGCUAUCUAUUUAUCUAUCUAUCUGUCUGUCUGUCUGUUUGUAUAUGUAUCUAUCUAUAUAUCUCUGUAUAAUUUAUAUAUUUUUUUAUCUAUAUCUAUACACACACAGGCAUGCACAAUGACACACGCAUAUUUGGAAGCGCACGAAGGCCUAGUAAAAAUAUAUUGCCUCCGCAUGCAAACUUAUGCCUGUGUGUAUGAGUAUAUGUGUCAAUAUAGAUGUCUGUACAUAUACAUAUAUAUAUAUAUAUAUAUAUGUAUGUAUGUCAGCAUGUAUGUAUGUAUACAUACACAACACAUAUGUACGCAUAUAUGUGCAUAAUACUUACACACAUACAUACAUGCAUACAUUAUUACAUACAUAUAUACAUUUGUAUGUAUAUAUAUAUAUAUAUAUAUAUUUAUAGAGAGACAGAGAGAGAAGAAGAUAUAGAUUAAUAGAUAGAUAUAGAUAUAUAUAUGUAUGUAUGGUUAUAUAUAUACAUAUAUAUAUAUAUAUAUACGCAUGUGGAUGGGUGUAUGGGUGUAUGUGUGUGUAUGCGUGUGUUUCUGUGUGUGUAUGUGUGUGUGUAUGUAUGUAUGUGUGUGUGUGUGUGUGUGUGUGUGUGUGUGACCGCGUGAGUAUCGUUAGCGAUUUUCUUUCUCCGUCUUUCCUUCCUUGGACCUUUCCUCUUUCUAUGAUUCUGACGAAGAGCUCCGCUUGAAACGUUAAAUCCUCCUUCUUUCUUUCCUUUCCUGAGUGUCCAAUAAUACUAUACUUGUUCCAUGCCCUUGCAUUGUUGUGUUUUCUCUUUUCUGAUGUUUGGAUUAACUAUAUACAUAUAGUGUAUAGUUCGUUAGCUUUUAGGAUAUGGUAACUAGCAGACAUUCCAGCGACACAUAAAUACAGUUUAAUAAAUAGUUUUACACGAGUUACUUGAAAUUUCGUGCAGUAAUCAUAAUACAAUGCAGGAUCCGGCAAUUGUUUAGGUUUAAGUACCAUGGCUAGUUCUUGACUAAAUGCGAGUAGAAUGUUUCUCAAGAACAAUUAAGGAGAAAAAAUGUUAAGAGAUUUUAAGUGCAAAGGGACAAUUCUCUUACUAAGGCUGAUUGCUCUGGACCUAGCUUCAAACAUUUACAAACCUUACCAUACAUCACAAUGAAUCCUUAGGUAUGUACGUAGACAAACUUGCAACUCUGCUAUCAUCUUUAAAAGCCUUAUAGCAAACAUUAGUAAUAGGAUUUCUAACUUCUAUCUUUGUUAAGAAAUGGCGAUAAGACAGCCUCUACUAUAACAUCGUCUUGGCGAAGAGUGACUUCAAAGAGAAGAUAUACUCUUUGACUCAAAUAAAAACGAAGUCUAAAAAUAUACGGUUCACCCCCUUGUUUCUCCUUGAAUUUUUGGACUAAUGUAGAUAAAAUUACUCCCAGCCUUGAUAGAUAAACUUUUCCCUGCUAGCCAUAGGUAUAAGAAAAUCUCCAAUAGAUGUUUUGUGAAAGUCCUCUACAGAUACGACCCUAAUACAAAACAAAGUCUUUGCAACAAGGCCUAUUAAGAUGUUUAUUCUAGCCAAUUUCAGGAACCUAGUGUCAAGCAUACAUGAUUAUCUCAGUCGUCUACGAAGCCGUGACCACUUCCGUUUUACCAAAUAAGAAAACCGCAAGGAAAAAAUAUAUUAGGCUGUGCGAAAGUGACUUCAAAAGACAAGCGCCAGCCACCCGUUUCCUUUCAAGUACGUAAACAAAUAUAAAACUCAAAGCUAGCAAGCCAUACGUUGAGCCUGGAGAAGUAGCGUUGUAAAAAGAUCUGCAUUAUACUUUAAAGUGACAAGAUGCGCAAGUUCCGCAUAACUGAAAGAACACACAUCCUUAGUAGAUAGAAGAACUGCAGCGACCUUCAAAUCGCUACGUCAGAGAUUUUACAAGAAAUAUACAUCAAGACAAAUUUCUAUUCUCGAACUGGAAGAUACCAACUCACAAGAUUAGGCACCCAUCUUACACCCUCUGCUAUCCCCACUGAAGGAGUUGCUGGAAUAAUGCUAGAACGAAUAUCAGACAAUCUUGAAGUUUCCGAGAUGGGUUUACUAGAACAUUUACUCUUUAGAUUAAGUCUUGCAAGGCAGCUGAUCUAUUUACUCACACAUAUAUUGAAGUAAAUCUAUAACACUCGAUAUAGACCCGCUUUAAUAUCGAUUGUCAAUGCUCUAAAGUAAUGAAUGAAGUCACAGGCCGCACCACGAUACACCACACACAUGCACACACACACGUACAUACAUUUAUACAUACCUACAUACAUACAUGUAUGUAUGUAUAUAUGUAUACAUAGAUAUGUGUGUGCGUGUGUAUAUAUAUAUAUAUAAGCAAAGCAAAUAUAUACCAUAAUAGUGCACACACAACAUAAAUAUGCCCUACUAAAGAUCUUUAUGUCAAUUGGAUUUGGUUUUGAAAUAUCACAAAUGCUAUGUUUACGCAUAUUAAUGGGCAAUUAUAUGCAAAUCAGUGUGUAUAUAUAUAUAUAUAUAUAUAUAUGUGUGUGUGUGUGUGUGUGUGUGUGUGUGUGUGUGUGUGUGUGUGUGUGUGUGUUGUGUGUGUGUGUUGUGUGUGUGUGUGUAUGUAUCACCCUCUCACCCUCUCUCUCUCUUUCCCUCUCUCACUACACACACACAUAUAUAUAUAGAGAGAGAGAUAGAUAGAUUAACAAAUGUUUGAAUGUACGCAUAUAUAUAUAUAUAUAUUUCUAUAUAUAUGUAAAUAUAUAUAUAUACACAUAUGUAUAUAUGUAUCUGUCUCUUCCUCUCUCUCUCCCUCUCUCUCUCUCUCUCUAUAUAUAUAUAUAUAUAUAUAUAUAUAUAUAUACAUAUAUACAUAUAUAUAUAUUACUGUUAAAAGACACAGGUAGGCAGAUAGAUACAUGCGUACAUAAAUACCUACAUAUAUACAUACAUACACCCAAGCAUACACAUUCACCCGCUUAUCGAUCUAGACAUCCCUAUACAUCUCUCUCUCUCUCUCUCUCUUUCUAUUUCUGUCUCUGUUUCUGAAUGUCGGCCUCUCACCCUACUUUUCUGGAUCGUCUUACCUCCUGUAUAUGUAAAGUACGUUUCUGUGUGUGUGUGUGUGUGUAUCUGUGCACGCACACGUGUGCAUGUACAUGAGUGUCUGUGCACGUGCGUGUGUUAGAGAGAGAGAGAGAGAGAGAGAGAGAGAGAGAAGGAUGGGGUAUGGAGAGCGUGCGCAUGUGUGUUUAUAUGACAUUUGGGCUCGUCACGUCGAACUGGGAAUCGUAACCGGGUAGUGUGCUUAGUUACCUACAACAAGGGAUUUGUUAACCAGUCAUUACUUCCCUUGGGGUUGGCUCGAACUUUAUGUAUGACAAUAGAUGUCAUGUUCGAUAAUGUCUGCCAGUAAUUUAAAUCAACAGGGAUUUUUACGCGCGCUCUCUCUCUCCCCCUCUCGCUCUUUCUCGCUCUGUCUUUUUCUUCCACUUGCUUUUUUUUUCUAAAUAUAUAACGAUGGACUUGGUAUGCGGUAGCUCAGAGCUUGCUCUCUUUCUCCGCCGCUCUCCCAUCUCACUAUCUAAUGGUCAGACUGUCCAUCUAUUUACCGAGCUCACAUUCUCUUUCUAUAAAUAGUGAUAUGGGUGUGUGUGUGUGUGUGUGCGUGUGUUAUGUUUUUCCGUUUACACAUGGGCGCAGGAGUGGUUGUGUGGUAAGUAGCUUGCUUACCAACCACAUGGUUCCGGGUUCAGUCCCACUGCGUGGCAUCUUGGGCAACUGUAUUCUGCUAUAGCCCCGAGCCGACCAAUGCCUUGUGAGUGCAUUUGGUAGACGGAAACUGAAAGAAGCCUGUCGUAUAUAUGUAUAUAUAUAUAUGUGUGUAUGUAUGUGUGUUUGUGUGUCUGUGUUUGUUCCCCUAGCAUUGCUUGACAACCGAUGCUGGUGUGUUUACGUCCCCGUCACUUAGCGGUUCGGCAAAAAGAGACCGAUAGAAUAAGUACUGAGCUUACAACGAAUAAGUCCCGGGGUCGAUUUGCUCGACUAGAGGCGGUGCUCCAGCAUGGCCGCAGUCAAAUGGCUGAAACAAG